rnacentral:piRNA from 1 species
UCUUCUUGGUGGGUUGACUCUAAGGUGG